rnacentral:rRNA from 1 species
GCCGGCAGCUAGCUCUCUGCAACUGUCACAUGGUCGCCCACUGAAGCUAAGCAGGACUGCGCCCGAUCAGUACCUGGAUGGGAGACCACAUGGGAAAGCUAGGUUGCUGCCGGUG